CAAGCGACUGUUUACCAAAAACAUAGGUUUCUGCUAAGUCGCAAGACGAUGUAUAGGAGCUGACGCCUGCCCGGUGCUGGAAGGUUAAGGGGAUCUGUUAGAGCAAUCGAAGCAGUGAACUUAAGCCCCAGUAAACGGCGGCCGUAACUAUAACGGUCCUAAGGUAGCGAAAUUCCUUGUCGGGUAAGUUCCGACCCGCACGAAAGGCGUAACGAUUUGGGCACUGUCUCAACAACAGACUCGGUGAAAUUGUAAUUCCGGUGAAGAUGCCGGAUACCUGCGACAGGACGGAAAGACCCCAUGGAGCUUUACUGUAGCU
rnacentral:rRNA from 1 species